AUUGAACGCUGGCGGCCGGCCUAACACAUGCAAGUCGAACGUGUGGCGGACGGGCGAGUAAUGUCUGGGAAACUGCCCGAUGGAGGGGGAUAACUACUGGAAACAGUAGCUAAUACCGCAUACCAUCAGAUGUGCCCAUAUGGGAUUAGCUAGUUGGUGGGGUAACGGCUCACCAAGGCGACGAUCCCUAGCUGGUCUGAGAGGAUGACCAGGCACACUGGAACUGUGACACUGUCCAGAGUCGUACGGGAGGCAGCAGUGGGGAAGAUGGCACAAUGGGCUCAAGCCGGAUACAUCCAUGCCGCGUGUAUGAAGAAGGCCUUCGGGUUGUAAAGUACUUUCAGCGAGGAGGCGUUACCCGCAGAAGAAGCGCCGGCUAACUCCGUGCCAGCAGCCGCGGUAAUUC
rnacentral:rRNA from 1 species